GAACACUGGACUGUGGGUUUGGACUAUAAACUCAGGUGAAGAGAAUUGUGACUCUAAAGCUUGUUGAGGAUGGUGCUGAAGCCAGGAAACUGCUCCAUCAGUGGGAAUUAGAGGACAAAACAACUUCAAUCACAUCAUACCAUUCAGGCCAAUCAAAACAACCUUCAAGAAAUGACAAGAAACCACUGUUUUGAGAGUCCAUGCAAAAAGUUGAUGUGAAGAUGUCCCAAGAGUAUGAGAUCUGGAAGAGUUUGC